CGUGUAGGUGGGGAAGCAAGUCCGGUGGGAAAGCCCGCGGCUCAACCGCGGAAGUUCGCUGGAAACUGCUACUCUUGAGGGUGAUAGAGGGAAGUGGAAUUGCUGGUGUAGCGGUGAAAUGCGUAGAUAUCAGCAGGAACACCCGUGGCGAAGGCGGCUUCCUGGAUCACCCCUGACGCUGAGACGCGAAAGCGUGGGAGCGAACG
rnacentral:rRNA from 1 species